ACGGAGGGUGCAAGCGUUAAUCGGAAUUACUGGGCGUAAAGCGCACGCAGGCGGUCUGUCAAGUCGGAUGUGAAAUCCCCGGGCUCAACCUGGGAACUGCAUUCGAAACUGGCAGGCUAGAGUCUUGUAGAGGGGGAUGGAAUUCCUGGUGUAGCGGUGGAAUGCGCAGAUAUCAGGAGGAACACCGGUGGCGAAGGCGGUUCUCUGGGCAUUACCUGACGCUGAGGAGCGAAAGCAUGGGGAGCGAACAGGA
rnacentral:rRNA from 1 species